CCCUGACAGUCGCAUGGUGCGGCUGACACUUGCCACGACAGGAGAAAUGACAUG
rnacentral:sRNA from 12 species